GGAUUGCUGGGGACUGAGUGCCUGCAAACCCUAUAACGGAAGCUUUUUGGAGCUGUAGAUUGUCUGGUAAAAUAAUGUGAGUUUGAUAAUGCAGACACACAAUGCAGACUAUAUAUAUUGCUUACAUUUCUUUUUCAUCUAUGUUUCUUCUAUUAUUGUUGUUAUUAUUAUUUUUGGUAUUUAAAUAGAGCCAAAUGUACAAUAUUAAAAACGAGGGUAUUUUAACACUAAGUGGGACAAUUACAUAAUGUUACAGUAACAAUAGAUUGAUGAGAACCCUGCUCAGGUGAGCAUACUAUGUUUACUUUUUAGAGGAUCUACAACUUACUUGGGGAAAAAAUUCCAUCUGGGGCUCCCUGCAGUACAAGGUUAAGUAGGAUCCUGGAAUAAGGCACCUGUGACAGGGAGGGGUACAAAACCAAGGAGUUGGCCUAGACUCCCAAAUAUAUAUUUAUUAAAACUGGGGGCUGCACUCACCUGAACAUGCAUUAAUAAUUGCUGCUGUAUUUAGCCUUGUACUGCAGAGAGCCCCAGAUGGAAGUAUUUCCCAAGUGGGUUAAUCUCAUAACAGCAAGCCUUAGGCUGUUACAGUAGGACCUGCCAAAAAUGGGGUACAGUGAUGUUGUGGCAGACUUAUGCAAUGUAUGAUCAUAUAAUGUAACUAAUCCCCCCUUAUUUGUGCCUAGAUUAGUUUUUUUUUUAAAAACUAAUAAAAUCUGUGAGAUUUGAAGUUGCUGUUUAGUGGAUGAGUGAGUGCGCUGGAUCUUGUGUUUUGUAUAAAUUGGCCCCCAGCAGCACCCCCAUUUAUGCAUGUUCAUGUGAGUGCAGCCCGUGGUUUCAUAUAUAUAAAUAUAUUAUUAAAAAGACACUAUGUAGGUUAUCAUUUGUUUACUUAUUUAAACACCAUGUUAGUCAUACUUGCAUAUAUAAUACAUAAUCAGAUAUAAUACCUUUAAGAUACAUAAUGCAUACACAACUAACCACUCACAAAUAACCAAUUAGCAACAAGCUACUUACACACUUGUGAAUUAAGUAUGCCCUCUCUUCUCCUCCACUGGUUGGCGGUCAGGAGGGAGUUGAAAGUUGCACUUCUAUAAGCAUGAAUGCAGUCAUAUAUUCAUAACACUUCAACUCCUCAUUCUGACCCUAUAUACCUCACAAGGUGAUCUGGGAAAACUGUUUCUGUUGUUAGAUUCUUUAAAGAAUGCCCAGAGAUCUUUUCGGUCAUGUGACACUAUAGUCGCCAAAAUAACUUUAGCUUAAUGGAGUGGUUUUCAUGUAUAGAUCAUGCCCCUGCAGAGUCACUGCUCAAUUCUCUUCCACGUUAGGAGUUAAAUCAAUUUGUUUAUACAGUCCUAGCUAAACCUCUCCUGCAUGUGACUUAUACAGCCUCCCUAAACACUUCAUUUAAAGUGAGAUUUAAAGGAUCUUUAAACUUCCUUUGCUACACAGUGUGUUUAAUAAAAAAAUAUAUGAUUUCCUGCACUGUUAAUGGCUUUGUAGACACUGCAGGAGCAGCCUGUGUGUGAUUAACAGAGCAGAGGAUACUAACUUCUGAAGUAAACACACUGUGCUGUCAGAUCUGAUCGAAAAUUACUUUUUCAUGUAGGCUGUGUGAGUUACAGACAGGAGAGGUGUGGCUAGGGCUCCAUAAACAGAAACAAAAGUGAUUUACAGGGACACUAUAGGCACAGAGACAACUUCAUCUCAUUUAAGUGGUCUGCGCAAAGUGCCCCUGUCCCCUUAACCCUGCAAUGUAAACCAAUACAGUGUCAAAGAAACUGCAAUGUUUAUAUUGCUGGGUUAAGACAACCUCUAGGGCUGUCUUAUGUGAAAUUAUGUUGGACAUAAUCACACUUUGUAUAAGGAUGUACAAAAUCUUCACCCAUAGGAAAGCAAUGAUGUAAUGCUUUCCUUUGGCAAAGCUCUAAUGCACAUGGAGAAUGAGCAUUAGGUUCCCCCAUUGGCGUGAUGUUGCAGAAAGAGGAGACUGAUCCAGUACUGAGGGAACUUGGUGCUGGAAUCUUUCAAGUGUACAAAGGGUAAACUAUUCACUAAAUUGUAGUGUAUAAAUUGAAAUGACAAUAAGAUGGUACAAAGAGCCAAAUUGUGUCUACACUUGUGCAUUAUUGCUUUACAGCUGGUAUAAACAAAUCAAGUUAUUUUUAGUCUAUGCCUAAAUAAUUGAUCCAUCUGGGAUUAUGCUUAAAGAAUUGAUCCAUCUGGGACAAUGCCUAGUCUAUGCCUAAAGAAUUGAUCCAUUUGGGACUAUGCCUAGUCUAUGCCUAAAUAAUUGAUCCAUCUGGAACUAUGCCUAGUCUAUGCCUAAAGAAUUGAUCCAUCUGGAACUAUGCCUAGUCUAUGCCUAAAGAAUUGAUCCAUUUGGGACUAUGCCUAGUCUAUGCCUAAAGAAUUGAUCCAUCUGGGACUAUGCCUAGUCUAUGCCUAAAGAAUUGAUCCAUCUGGGACUAUGCCUAGUCUAUGCCUAAAGAAUUGAUCCAUCUGGGAUUUAUCUGUGGAGUCUUAUUCCUUGAUAAGAAUUCAAAGGUAAAUCCUGAACCACUGAAAAACUGUGAAAAAAAAUACUUUUUACACUACACUAGAAAAGGUACUUAGGUAUCCAAUCCCCAUUCAACUUUAGAGGGAAAAUAUGCCAUGAGAUACAUGAAAAAGUACUUAUCUCUGUUUAAAGACGGUAAAACAGGGAGAACAAUCAAAUCUGUUUGCUAACAUAUAGAAAUAUUGCUGUAUGCAUCACUCAUAAUAGCCAAUGAUCACCCUCAAAGUAAUAAUAACACAACAGGGUACAGAUUCUAGAAUUAUGAAAUACACUGUGCACCUCUAGCUCAAUACAAUGCAGCAACUAUCAAUAAUAUGACCAUAUAAUCAGUAAAUAGUAGAUAAUAGUGAAAAAUGAACAAAAGCUUAAAAAGACUCAGCAGCUUGCACCUCGGUAAAUCCCCGCUCACUUAUCACAAGUGAGCAAACACUAAUUUGAGACCUGAGCUCGGAUUUACCGAACGGCAAGCUACUGAUUUUCUCUAAGCUUUCGUCCAUUCUCAGGGUUCUCAGAUUCUCUGUUUUUGUUGCAAUGCAUUACUUGGCUCUCCCCAAGUUAAAAUGGUAAUCCAGACGUGGACCCUGUGCUCACUGUGCGUAAAAGAGUUUCUGUGUGUAAAUGGGGCCCAAAGAAGGCCAAAACAAUCGUCUUGGGUUGCUGUUUCUUUCGUGCAGAGAGAAUUUGCCGGCAUUUUGGUUCUGGACUGCUUUUAUGGAUGUGAUUAGUCUCAGAAUAUGUUCUUUCUGUAAAGUGAGCAAAACCUAUUUUGAGACCUUAGCGUGGCAAGCUACUCAGUUUCUCUAAGCUUUUGUCCAUUCUCAGAGCUCACAUAUUCUUUGUUUUUGUUGCAAUAGUGAAUGAUAGAUAAAAGAAUAUUUGGUAUGAAAAAACAUCAAAUAUAUUACUUUUUCACAAAAACAUAUCAAUUAAACUGUUAAUGGCUCAAAAAAAUCCCAAUAAGUCUUCAUUGAAUACUAUUCUACCAAUCUACUUUCCUAAUAUGUCCCUUACCUUUUGUGUCACUUUACCCCACUCCGUCUAGCAUAGAAACAUAGAAUAUGACGGCAGAUAAGAACCAUUUGGCCCAUCUAGUCUGCCCAAUUUUCUAAAUACUUUCAUUAGUCCCUGGCCUUAUCUUAUAGUUAGGAUAGCCUUAUGCCUAUCCCACGCAUGCUUAAACUCCUUUACUGUGUUAACCUCUACCACUUCAGCUGGAAGGCUAUUCCAUGCAUCCACUACCCUCUCAUUAAAGUAAUACUUCCUGAUAUUAUUUUUAAACCUUUCUCCCUCUAAUUUAAGACUAUGUCCUCAUUGGGCAGGGCUCUCACCCGCUUUGUUUCAGUGUGUCAAACUUGUCUGUUUACAAGUACAUGUUUGUUAGUCCACCCACUGUAAAGCGCUACAGAAUUUGUUGGCGCUAUAUAAAUAUAAUAAUAAUAAAAAUAUUAAAAAAAAAAUUUCUUCUCAACUAAAACCAAAAAUAUAAAUGUAAUGUACAGUGCAGAUCAAUAAAAUCUAAAUUACAUAAAAUAUAAUUAAAAAAAAAAGCACACUCCCAAAAUAAUCUUACUCACAAAUGGAGAAUGUCUUGUAGUGCCACUAUGGACUGUUGUGCCUGGGGAGGAUCAUGUCCAUGGGGAGCAUUGGGUUUACAAUCCUAUCACUUGCAUUCACUCCAAAUCUAGAAUAAGGAUACAGUAUAAACUUUAUUCAGCACUUUAUGCCAUUAACUCUUGCCGCUGUAUCUUUUUGCUCCCUCCUUCCGAAUCAGCAUGGUGACGUAUCACUUAAUCACUCAACCUCCCCCUGGGACUUUGUCAUGUGAUCCAUCCUCACUGACACAGUUAUAUACAGUGUGACAACACUGUUUAUCUCCCUGAUCACAGGUUAUUUAUCACAAGACAUCUUGGUAGCAUUUACACAAAAUCUUAACUGAGCUGUAAUAUAGAUUCAAAAUGAAUCAUUCCAAAAAAUAUACAAAAUAACAAAACUUAAAUAAAGACAGUGAGUCAGUUUAGUAACUUAAAAAUAUAUCAAAUGUAAAAAUAUGAUAAAAAUGACAAAGUUCAAAAUCUCUGUUUAGUCCAAAUAAUAAAUCACCCUAAUUUCUUUUUUCAAACUGCUCGGAUCCUGAUUGUGAAAUCUUUUAAAGUGUUAUGGCACACUGUGGCUCUCCACACCCUAAUAUUAUAUAAAUGCUCAGAUAUUCUCCUGUAUAGAGGUCUAGUUGUUCUACCCAUAUGCUGUACGUUUUAAGGACAUUCCAAUUAAUAGAGAACACAAUAGUUUGAGUCAACAUAGAUGUAAAUUACUAAUUCUCCUCUCCUUGUUGGUAUUUUUAACUUUGCAUCCCGAGCAUGUCCUCACUUAAAGGGACACUAUAGUCACCUGAACAACUUUAGCUUAAUGAAGCAGUUUUGGUGUAUAGAACAUGCCCCUGCAGCCUCUCUGCCAUUUAGGAGUUAAAUCACUUUGUUUAUGAACCCUAGUCACACCUCCCUGCAUGUGACUUGCACAGCCUUUAUAAACACUUCCUGUAAAAAGUAAUCUAAUGUUUAUCCUUCCUUUAUUGCAAGUUCUGUUUAAUUUAGAUUUCCUUAUCCCCUGAGAUGCUAAUAGCUUGCUAGACACUGCAUGAGCAUCUUGUGUGUGAUUCAAGUUCAAUUUAAAGAGCAAUAGAUAAAAUUGUUUAGAGUCAAUUACAUCUGAUUGAAAGUGAAACCAGUUUUUUUUUUUCAUGCAGGCUCUGUCAAUCAUAGCCAGGGAAGUUGUGGCUAGGGCUGCAUAAACAGAAACAAAGUGAUUUAACUCCUAAAUGACAGUGAAUUGAGCAAUGAAACCGGAGAGGCAUGAUCUACACACUAAAAAUGAUUCAUUAAGCUAAAGUUGUUUAGGUGACCAUAUUGUCCAUUUAGCCCCUUAAGGACACAUGACAUGUGUAACAUGUCAUGAUUCCCUUUUAUUCCAGAAGUUUGGUCCUUAAGGGGUUUCUCGAUAUUUAAAAAGUACCUUGGUGUUUCUUUCUUUAAAUCACUUUUUACUGAACUUGUUUUAGAAUUUGUGGCACCUCAGAAUGUGAUCAUAGGUUUAUCAGAUAAUACCUUUAUAACAGACUUCCAAAAAAACUCUGCCCAUCCAGUUGUUGCUGAACUACAACUCCAAUGAUUUUCAUUCAUAGAAUCAUGGGAGUUGUAGUUCAGCAACAACUGGAGGGACAGAGUUUUGGGAAGCCUGCUAUACAAGAUCCUCAACCAGUCUUAACAUAUCUUUUUAAUUUUAUUGUGUUCUUCUACUAUUCACAAUUAAUAAAUAUUUUUGCUGAAUAGUAAUAACCGCAUUAAAAGCUUUUUCCAGAAUUUCAUCUGGAUAGUUUUAUCCAGAUGAUAUUCUGGAAAAGGCUUUCAAUUAAGUUAUUGAAAAAACAUAUUAGGAAAAGUGUGGAGAACACUUUAAAAGAUUUCACAAUCAGGAUCCAAGUGGUUUAAAAUUUGUGCUCAUGAAAAAAUGUUCAUAAAAAGUGGAGAUGAUAAGAAUUUAUUAAAAUAAAAUAAUCAAGAAGAAAAUAGGUGGAUUUAUUAUUUGGAAACACUGACACCAACUGGUCUAAACGUAGAUUUUGAACUUCAUAAUGUUUUACAAUUUUUAUAUAUUUCUAUAUUUUGCAAUACAUUUUUUCUCUUAUUUUUUUUCUCUCUCUUUUUUUAUUUGAUUUUUUUAAUAUUUUUAACAUUUUAGACAAACUGCCCUUUAGUUUUUGCCAUUUACUAUAGAUAGUCUGGGCAUAUAUGAUUCUUGCUUGUGUUAAAUAUACCUUUUGUUAGGUCUCUAAGUUUAUAUAUUUUUUAUGUUUUAUUUUAAAUAUUUUUUAUGUUUUUAGUUUUUUUAGAAUUCGUUACUUAGGUAUAGGAGCAACUACUUAGAAUAGAGAUAAUAAUAAGCUCCUUUGUAUUUCUACAAAAUGCAUAUAUCUUUUGAGUUACUAAAUUGAUUCACAGUUUUUAUAUGUGUCUCAUUUUUUUUGUAUAUUUUGGAGGGAUGCAAUUUUAACCUGUAUUACUGUGCAGGUAGGGUUUUAUGUACAACGCUACCAAGAUGAUUUGGGAUUUUGACUAUUUGAAGUUGUGUCAGUGAGGAUGGAGGGUGUGGUGUACUUGACAAAGCCCUGGGGAGAGGGGAAAAAUGCGUUGCAUGAUAUGUCACAUCACUUAUUCGGUAUGAGGAGGAAAAAUAUACGGUGGCAUUCGUGACUGCAGACUGCUUGCUUCAGAACUUUGUUUGGGAACAUUCAUGCUCCCAUGGAUCUGAUCCUUCCUGGACAACAGUGUGGAGUGACACUGCAAACCACUGUUUUGAGCAACAUUACUUUUUUAUUAUAUUCUAUGUAAUUUAGAUUUUAUUGAUCUGCACGAAGUACAUUAUAUUCAUACUUUAAGGUUUACUUGUGAAGAUAUUAGUAUCGUAUUUUUUAUAUAUUUUUUUUUUUUUAUAUCUUUGACAUUUUUGUAAACCUAUAGUCUCUUAUCUAUCAUUCACUGAUCACCCUCUAGUGGUGAUACAGAGAAUAGCAUACCUUUUAAAUAAUGUUUAAAAUCCAGUAGGGAGGGAUGCAUUGUUAUAGAGAGGAAAUUUUGUUGCUAUAAUAUUUUCGCAAAUAUUCCUGCCAUGUUGCUUGCUACAUACCAAUUACAACGUUUCACUAAAUUAGAAAUGUGCUUAAAAUGAGUUGUAAAACUUAAUUGUCUAAGAAGCAUAUUCUAGAGUCAUUAGUAUCUGCAGAUACAUUGAUUUGUUGUGAUAUAGUAUACAUAAAAUAACACCAACACUAAAAAAGAUGAAAAUGCAUGAAUACAUUAAAAAUAAAAAUGUGGUUAUGUCAAACGUUUAUCAUUAAGAUUUCAAUUAAAGGUAUUUUCUAUGCACUAUAAACCACUACAAUUACUAUAACUGCAUUUGGAUUACUUUCUUAAAAUGACACUUUAGGCAGAUCAAAAUAAAACAAACAAUCUUUUAUUAAUCCCUCUGCUUAGCUGCAAGCUUACCUACAGUAGACUGAACUUGUGUAGUAUCUUAAAUGCACCUUUAAAUGUGUUAAUCUUUUUCAAAAUAUUCAAUAUCAUCCUAUUCUCGCGUGACUUUUACUCCUGUUAUAAAGCAAAAUCGAAGGGGGUCUCUACCUUAGUGAGCUGGGAUGUCUCAUUCUCCUUGAUGUAUAAAGUUAGCAACAAAAAUGGACGCUUUACGCUUCUUCAAUGUUAUGCCAAUAAUGCCCCAUUUACAUUGGUGCAUGUUUACAGUCCUCUUCACAAUCAGUUAUAUCUUUUAAUAAAUGAGUUUGCUUUAAUUAAUGUGCAUACAUUUGGAGAGGUAAUCUUUGGAGGUGACAAAAAAAGUUUUAUUAGAUGCGAAAUCAGACUCCUCCUCAUAUAAAAAAAAGGAGUGCCGGGCAAUGCUCUGUGUAGACUCAGCACUAUAACAGAACUCUGUAAUACCAUUGCAGUGCACAGUUUUUAAGACCCAUAGUGGGUGCUUGUUAGGGACCAGAAACCAGACAGAGACAGAACAUAGAUGCAAAACACCUUUAUUAAUAAAUAGCAACAAAUUAAAUAACCCAAAAGCAAAGUGCAGGAGGCAAGCAGGGGUAAGGCACCAAAGCGGGUAGUGAGACGAGCCGGAAUGAGGAGAACGGAGAGCAGCGGAGUCAGGAACAAGACCAGAAGUCAGGAACCAGGAAUACACAGGAAACACAGGAAACAGGAAGUCUUCUGGGAAACAGGAAGUCUUCUGGGAAACAGGAAAUCACGCAAGGGCAAGGAGGUACUUGAACUUGCUGCUUUAAGAGGCUGAACUAAUAAGCGUAAGGGCUGGCUACUAACAACCGGGUGAGUAACCGUGGAAACAGUAAUAAGGGAGCUGACCAUAAAAAGCAGCUGAACAGUUUAGACGUAGAGGAGGAAGUGCUACAUCCCACAGAAGUUGAUUAUACCUUCCAUUCACAGGUUUAGAAGAUGUUGUCUAGGAUUGACCGAUUUCUUGUCCACAGUUCCUUACUACCCAAAAUUCUUUCUUCCAGAUAGGACUAAUCAGCGGGUCUGAUCAUGCCCCCAUCAAUAUCACUUUCAGAAAUCUUUCCUAAUAAUGGUUAUGGAUCCUGGUGUUUAAAUGAACACUUAUUACAGAUCCAACUAUUGUUUCUAUAUGGCUGGCUUUGUCAGAGGCCUGUUUCUUAAAACAACUAACUACACCAGAAAACAGCAAGAACAACAUUAUUUAACUAUUAUACGGGAGUUGACUAAAUUAACUCAUCAGAACAAGUCAAACCCCUCCCCCACCACUUACUCGCGACACCUUUCCUUGGCAAUCUCAACUCCAUGAGAUUCGGUUAUCUAAAUCCACUUUUUUAUAAAGAUACCUCUAGCUAAAUUUUUCACACAUGUUAACAGAGCAGGUGUUGUACUAGCUGCCCAACUCAAAACUCAUAAUGUCACCUCCAGGAUUGUCUUUCUACAGUCUGCUGAACAUGGUACGUGGCAACUGACAUUUAAUAUGGAUAAGUGCUAGAUAAUGCAUCUUGGACGUAAAAACCACAAGGCAGAGUACAGAAUAUUUGAUAGAGUUCUAACCCCAACAUAUGAGGAAAGGGAUUUAGGGGUGAUUAUUUCUGAUGACUUAAAGGUAGGCAGACAAUGUAAUAGAGCAGCAGGAAAUGCUAGCAGAAUGCUUGGUUGUAUAGGGAGAGGUAUUAGCAGUAGAAAGAGGGAAGUGCUCAUGCCAUUGUACAGAACACUGGUGAGAUCUCACUUGGAGUAUUGAACUCAGUACUGGAGACCGUAUCUUCAGAAGGAUAUUGAUACCUUAGAGAGGGUUCAGAGAAGGGCUACUAAACUGGUACAUGGAUUGCAGGAUAAAACUUACAAGGAAAGGUUAAAGGAACUUAAAGGGGCACUCCAGGCACCCAGACCACUUCUGCCCAUUGGAGUGGUCUGGGUGCCAACUCCCACUACCAUUAACCAUGCAACUGUAUAUAUUUCAGUUUUCAUAAACUGCAAUAAUUACAUUGUAGGGUUAACUCCUCCUCUAGUGGCUGUCUACUAGACAGCCACUAGAGGCCACUUCCGGGAUUCUAGCACAGGUUUUGUGUGCUAGAGCGUCGCUGGACGUCCUCACGCUGUGUGAGGACCACCAGCGUCACUAAAAUCCCCAUAGGAAAGCACUGAAAGGCAUUGCCACGGAUGCGCAUUAGGUCUCCCCAGCCGGCGGGCGUGAUCGGUCUCCGCUGCCGGAUGACGUGGUGACGGGGAGGAGCGUGGGUGGACCCAGAAGCAGCACCAAGGGACAACAGCGCUGCCUCAGGUAAGUCACUGAAGGGGUUUUGACCCCUUCAGCAAUCAGGGGUUGGGAGGUGGGAGGGAGAGGGGACCUGCAGUGCCAGGAAAAUGAUUUGUCUUUCUGGCACUGGAGAGUCCCUUUAACAUGUAUAGCUUGAAGACGAGACAGGGGGGAUAUGAUACAAACAUUUAAAUACAUAAAGGGAAUCAACACAGUAAAGGAGGAGACUAUAUUACCUACAUUUUCAUUCAUGUAUCCAUUGGGGGUAUAUCUUAAAACAUUUGCAAAAGCUGCAGUUGUCAUGAACUGCAGCCUUGCAAGUCCCCCUUAUUGCGAAAUCUCUGAGGGUCUCUCUCUGCGCACGCAUUGGGGGAGGCAGGCAUGCUUAAGUGGAGCGCGCCUGCCACUUUCGUUAGCUCAGGGAAGCUAACUGAAGCAGAAAGAAGCGCCCCUGUUUGACAGCUGGGGGGGAUGUUUCAUUAAUUAUUUAUAAAUUUGCCAAAUUGUAAUAGAAAUCAGUACUUUUAUAAUCUAUCAUUAUUAUAGGAUACUCCUCACAAGUAACCUGCAAUGCUUUAUGGGUGUGGAGUGGUCAUUUAAAAGCUUAAAAGAAACCAUGAAAAUAACUUUGCUUUAAGGGAUGAUUAUUGUCAAUAUUCCCAAAAAAUGUAACAUACACACAUUCCACAUAGCAUGUUAGUUAUUUUAUGAUAAACAUGGUUAAUAAAAUGCUACAAGUCUCAUAAGCGUCUUCCUCUAUGUUACUACAUAUACUGUCUAAAUAAGGUCAUUAGGCAUUAUAACUGCCUAACUAAUUCUCUCUCUCGCUCUUUACGUUAUUAGGAUGUCCAUAUGCUAAAGCCCACUAAGUCUUGUAUCCAGAUAUGCUAAAAAAAUAAUGCACUCAUGGGUCAUUGUAAAAAAUAUAAAUUUAGCUUUCAUUUAUAGAACUUUUAGAGCACUCUGAUUUUAAAUCCUCAUUUAUAUAGCCCUGCUUCUAUGCGUCUAGAGACUUUAAUGAAAAACUAAAUGUUUAGUGUAACAACGUGUUCUUUAUUUAGAAUUCAGGGUUCUCCAAACCUUGACCCCCCAGAUGUUGAUGAACUACAAAUCCCAUGAGUCUCUGGUUAUCUAUUUCAUUCAAAGAAUCACGGAAGUUGUAGUUCAGCAACAUCAGGACAGCCAGUUUGAAAAGAAACCCUUAUAGGUCAUGCAAAAGAGUUUACAUGACAAGUUGUUUAGCUGGGAGCUAAAAGACAUAAACAAUAAAAAAAAUGUGUUCAAACAUUAAACCCGAUGGACUUGAGUUUUUUUUAACCUAGAUUAGUAUGUAAAAAAUGCUCGCUUCAUGGUUGAGGAGAGGUUGCAACAAUAAAUAAUUGAACAUCCUCGAUAAUCUCUGCAUUUAUAUGUAACAGUACUACAUGUUAAUCGUGUAUUCUGUGUUAUAAUAAUUGUUUUUGCACACCCCUGUUAUCCUUCAUUUACAAUAUUUUAUAUGUAUUGAGUGAAGAGUAGGGACGUGAUUGUCAGUUUAUUAAAACGAAUGCAAGGACACAGCGUGCACAAUGUGAGAUAAAGAAAGCUUAAAUAAUUGUAAAGUCUUUUCUGAUUAAUUACAUCACACAAAAUCUAAUAAAAAGGAUUAGAGGGUUUAUAAAGUUUCUGAGUGGUUUAGAAACUCCAAUUCAGUUUAUGGAUUUUAGAUGUAUUUUUUUUUUUUUUUUUUGCAUUUGGCAUAGGGUGCAGAGAUUCGUAAAAGUGUUGAAUGUAAAUUUCAUGACAGAAUUUCUUAGGAAUGAUUGCUAUACAGUGGGAGGUCCUAUUCUCUAUCUGCAGAUACGUUUUAUUUAUUUUUGCUUUCUAAUUUGUAUGUGUACAAUUCACACAAUCCAGAUUAUUGUCACAUUGCCAAUUCACAAUAAAUUUUCUUAAAGAGUUAUUCCAAGCACCAUGAAAGAUUCAGUGGAUUGAACUGAUCAUGGUCCCAAUAAUCUAUAGGUGCAGCAUUUUACUACAACAUACUGCACCUAUUGAGUUUAGCCCACCUCCAGCAACGUCACUAGCCAUCCUGGAAGAAGUGUCCCUCCCAUCCGUGCCACCCUUGUUGUCCCCUCAGCCCAUCGUCCUCCGUGACAUCCAUUCCCUUCAUUUUUACAUUUGGUCAAUAUUCAGGAUUCCCUUCCCUUAUCUCUUUUUUUGGCACCACAGACAGAACACUGAAUCACAAAGCAAAUUAACCUAUUCGGCCAUUGUCCAUCUCGUUUUUCGUGAUACUUUCAUAUGGGGCUUCGGAGUUACAUAAUUUGGACGCCCAGCUAAAAUUGGACGAAUUGCAAUUUGUUUGAAAAUGGAAGCACAAGACUAAUGGACACCUUUGUUUUCUUAAUUUUUGCUGUAUUAAACCAUUAUUUUAUCAUAUAAUGUUCAUUUGCUGCUACAGUAUAAUGUCAAAAGUGAGCCUUUCACCAAUUCGGAAAGCCAGUAUUGUAAAAAAUGUUCUUUAGGAUCCUAUAUGAAAUCAGCAAGACUUAACAUUUCCAGUGGUUGCAUGGCUUUCACCAUUGGUGAUUGAGAUAUUGUUCUUGUGUUUUAAAGAUGACACUUAUUUAUAACGUAUUUUGUCUUUCAGAAAUAUCGUUAUCAAGAUGAGGAUACUCCUCCGCACGACCAUUCACUGCCGCGGCUAACACACGAUCUAAAAGGUCCAGAACUUGUUCACGUGUCUGAAAAAAACUUGUCUCAAGUAGAAAAUGUCCAUGGGUAUGUCAUGCAAUCCCAUAUAUCACCGUUCAAGGUAAAAGUGCUGGUUCCUGUCUAUAUUUUCUGAUUUAUACCUCUAGCACUGUGUGAUUUUACUGCUCAGAAAUAACUAAAAUUGAAAAUAAAUGCAAAGGAG